UGAAAGUGCUGUUGGGCUGAA
ensembl:piRNA 21ur-1643 ncRNA